UACGUAGGGUGCGAGCGUUAAUCGGAAUUACUGGGCGUAAAGCGUGCGCAGGCGGUUCGUUAAGUUCGUUGUGAAAGCCCCGGGCUCAACCUGGGAACUGCAAUGGAAACUGGCGGGCUUGAAUGCGGCAGAGGGGGGUGGAAUUCCGCGUGUAGCAGUGAAAUGCGUAGAGAUGCGGAGGAACACCGAUGGCCGGAAGGCAGCCCCCUGGGCUGACACUGACGCUCAGGCGACGAAAGCGUGGGGAGCGAACAGG
rnacentral:rRNA from 1 species